GGCGAACGCUGGCGGCGUGCCUAAUACAUGCAAGCCGAGCGCAGGAAACUGACGGAACUCUUCGGAGGGAAGGCAGUGGAAUGAGCGGCGGACGGGUGAGUAACACGUAAGGAACCUGCCUCAAGGAUUGGGAUAACUCCGAGAAAUCGGAGCUAAUACCGGAUAGUUCAACGGACCGCAUGGUCCGCUGAUGAAAGGCGCUCCGGCGUCACCUUGAGAUGGCCUUGCGGUGCAUUAGCUAGUUGGUGGGGUAACGGCCCACCAAGGGGACGCGGCCUAGCCGACGUGAGAGGGUGAUCGGCCACCCUGUGACUGAGAGACGGCCCAGACGCCUACGGGAGGCAGCAGUAGGGAAUCUUCCACAAUGGACGAAAGUCUGGUGGAGCAACGCCGCGUGAGUGAUGAAGGUUUUCGGAUCGUAAAACUCUGUUGUAAGGGAAGAACACGUACGAGAGGAAAUGCUCGUACCUUGACGGUACCUUACGAGAAAGCCACGGCUAACUACGUGCCAGCCGCCGCGGUAA
rnacentral:rRNA from 1 species